CGCGGAGAUGGGAUUAGAGAAGGAGGCGAGGAGAUGGGAUUAGAGAAGGAGGCGAGAUGGGAUUAGAGGAGGAGGCGAGAUGGGAUUAGAGGAGGAGGAAGCGAGGAGAUGGGAUUAGAGAAGGAGGCGAGAUGGGAUUAGAGGAGGAGGCGAGAUGGGAUUAGAGGAGGAGGAAGCGAGGAGAUGGGAUUAGAGGAGGAGGCGAGGAGAUGGGAUUAGAGGAGGUGGCGAGGAGAUGGGAUUAGAGAAGGAGGAGGUGCGGAGAUGGGAUUAGAGGAGGAGGCGCGGAGAUGGGAUUAGAGAAGGAGGCGAGGAGAUGGGAUUAGAGAAGGAGGCGAGAUGGGAUUAGAGGAGGAGGCGAGAUGGGAUUAGAGGAGGAGGAAGCGAGGAGAUGGGAUUAGAGGAGGAGGCGAGGAGAUGGGAUUAGAGGAGGUGGCGAGGAGAUGGGAUUAGAGGAGGAGGCGAGGAGAUGGGAUUAGAGGAGGAGGCGAGGAGAUGGGAUUAGAGAAGGUGGCGAGGAGAUGGGAUUAGAGAAGGAGGUGGCGAGGAGAUGGGAUUAGAGGAGGAGGCGAGAUGGGAUUAGAGGAGGAGGAAGCGAGGAGAUGGGAUUAGAGGAGGAGGAGGCGCGGAGAUGGGAUUAGAGGAGGAGGCGAGGAGAUGGGAUUAGAGGAGGAGGCGAGGAGAUGGGAUUAGAGGCGCGGAGAUGGGAUUAGAGGAGGCGAGGCGAUGGGAUUAGAGGAGGAGGAGGCACAGAGAUGGGAUUAGAGAAGGAGGCGAGGAGAUGGGAUUAGAGGAGGAGGAGGCGCGAAAAUGGGAUUAGAGGAGGAGGAGGCGCGGAGAUGGGAUUAGAGAAGGAGGCGAGGAGAUGGGAUUAGAGGAGGCGAGGAGAUGGGAUUAGAGAAGGAGGCGAGGAGAUGGGAUUAGAGAAGGAGGCGAGGAGAUGGGACUAGAGGAGGCGAGGAGAUGGGAUUAGAGAAGGAGGCGAGGAGAUGGGAUUAGAGAAGGAGGCGAGGAGAUGGGAUUAGAGAAGGAGGCGAGGAGAUGGGACUAGAGGAGGCGAGGAGAUGGGACUAGAGGAGGCGAGGAGAUGGGAUUAGAGGAGGCAAGGAGAUGGGAUUAGAGGAGGAGGCGAGGAGAUGGGACUAGAGGAGGCGAGGAGAUGGGACUAGAGGAGGCGAGGAGAUGGGAUUAGAGGAGGCAAGGAGAUGGGAUUAGAGGAGGCAAGGAGAUGGGAGAACUGACAGAAAGGUGAAAUGACAACCAUUAGAGCUCCAAGGUGAAUCUGGUUGAGGAGCCUAGGUAUGACAUGGUCACAAAAAUGUAUAGAAAAAUAACCUAUAUCUUGGUCCCGUGUUCCAACAAGCAAAUCUCUUCUACAUCAAUAAGUAAAACAUUUGCACUUUAAAAGGUCCAGUAUAGCCAAAAAUGUGGUUUUUCCUGUGUUUUAUUAAAUUCCCACACUAUGAGCUUGAAAUAAUAUUAUGACAAUGCCCUUUUAGUAUUAGAGCUGUUUGAAAUGACAGCCUGAUGUGGUGGGAAGGAGUUUGUCUUCCACGGUGACAUCACCAGGCAGUAAAUCUGGUAAUAGAUCAAUAAGAAAGAGUUGUAAACCGCUCUGCCAACAGUUCAUUCUCAGUAUUCCUCUCCCUAGACAGCCCAAUUCAAAUCCUUGCUUUGCGAGGAAGCUAUUUUUUUUACCAUUUUAAUUUAAAGCAAUGACAGUAAGGUACUUAAAAGGGAAACUCCACCCCAAAAAUAUUUUGGUAUUUCUUUCAUUAGUCUAUUGUUGAUUUAGUCCCAAAAUGUUUUGCAUGUCAGCAAUCAAGUUUAAAAUAUAACUUUCAAAAUAUAGAAAUACAGCCGGUAUUAUGCAUUUA
rnacentral:lncRNA from 1 species